UUAAGUUAGAAAGGGCGCACGGUGGAUGCCUUGACACUAGGAGUCGAUGAAGGACGGGACUAACGCCGAUAUGCUUCGGGGAGCUGUAAGUAAGCUUUGAUCCGAAGAUUUCCGAAUGGGGAAACCCACCAUACGUAAUGGUAUGGUAUCCUUAUCUGAAUACAUAGGGUAAGGAAGACAGACCCAGGGAACUGAAACAUCUAAGUACCUGGAGGAAGAGAAAGCAAAUGCGAUUUCCUGAGUAGCGGCGAGCGAAACGGAAUCUAGCCCAAACCAAGAGGCUUGCCUCUUGGGGUUGUAGGACAUUCUAUACGGAGUUACAAAGGAACGAGGUAGACGAAGCAGUCUGGAAAGGCUCGUCACAGAAGGUAACAACCCUGUAGUCGAAACUUCGUUCUCUCUUGAAUGUAUCCUGAGUACGGCGGAACACGUGAAAUUCCGUCGGAAUCUGGGAGGACCAUCUCCCAAGGCUAAAUACUCCCUAGUGAUCGAUAGUGAACCAGUACCGUGAGGGAAAGGUGAAAAGCACCCCGGAAGGGGAGUGAAAGAGAUCCUGAAACCGUGUGCCUACAAAUAGUCUGAGCCCGUUAAUGGGUGAUGGCGUGCCUUUUGUAGAAUGAACCGGCGAGUUACGAUCCCGUGCGAGGUUAAGCUGAAGAGGCGGAGCCGUAGCGAAAGCGAGUCUGAAUAGGGCGUUUAGUACGUGGUCGUAGACCCGAAACCAGGUGAUCUACCCAUGUCCAGGGUGAAGUUCAGGUAACACUGAAUGGAGGCCCGAACCCACGCACGUUGAAAAGUGCGGGGAUGAGGUGUGGGUAGCGGAGAAAUUCCAAUCGAACCUGGAGAUAGCUGGUUCUCCCCGAAAUAGCUUUAGGGCUAGCCUUAAGUGUAAGAGUCUUGGAGGUAGAGCACUGAUUGAACUAGGGGUCCUCAUCGGAUUACCGAAUUCAGUCAAACUCCGAAUGCCAAUGACUUAUCCUUAGGAGUCAGACUGCGAGUGAUAAGAUCCGUAGUCAAAAGGGAAACAGCCCAGACCGCCAGCUAAGGUCCCAAAGUGUGUAUUAAGUGGAAAAGGAUGUGGAGUUGCUUAGACAACUAGGAUGUUGGCUUAGAAGCAGCCACCAUUUAAAGAGUGCGUAAUAGCUCACUAGUCGAGUGACUCUGCGCCGAAAAUGUACCGGGGCUAAAUACACCACCGAAGCUGCGGAUUGAUACCAAUGGUAUCAGUGGUAGGGGAGCGUUCUAAGGACAGUGAAGUCAGACCGGAAGGACUGGUGGAGUGCUUAGAAGUGAGAAUGCCGGUAUGAGUAGCGAAAGACGGGUGAGAAUCCCGUCCACCGAAUGCCUAAGGUUUCCUGAGGAAGGCUCGUCCGCUCAGGGUUAGUCAGGACCUAAGCCGAGGCCGACAGGCGUAGGCGAUGGACAACAGGUUGAUAUUCCUGUACCACCUCUUUAUCGUUUGAGCAAUGGAGGGACGCAGAAGGAUAGAAGAAGCGUGCGAUUGGUUGUGCACGUCCAAGCAGUUAGGCUGAUAAGUAGGCAAAUCCGCUUAUCGUGAAGGCUGAGCUGUGAUGGGGAAGCUCCUUAUGGAGCGAAGUCUUUGAUUCCCCGCUGCCAAGAAAAGCUUCUAGCGAGAUAAAAGGUGCCUGUACCGCAAACCGACACAGGUAGGCGAGGAGAGAAUCCUAAGGUGUGCGAGAGAACUCUGGUUAAGGAACUCGGCAAAAUGACCCCGUAACUUCGGGAGAAGGGGUGCUUUCUUAACGGAAAGCCGCAGUGAAUAGGCCCAAGCGACUGUUUAGCAAAAACACAGGUCUCUGCGAAGCCGUAAGGCGAAGUAUAGGGGCUGACACCUGCCCGGUGCUGGAAGGUUAAGGAGAGGGGUUAGCGUAAGCGAAGCUCUGAACUGAAGCCCCAGUAAACGGCGGCCGUAACUAUAACGGUCCUAAGGUAGCGAAAUUCCUUGUCGGGUAAGUUCCGACCCGCACGAAAGGUGUAACGAUUUGGGCACUGUCUCAACCAGAGACUCGGUGAAAUUAUAGUACCUGUGAAGAUGCAGGUUACCCGCGACAGGACGGAAAGACCCCGUGGAGCUUUACUGUAGCCUGAUAUUGAAUUUUGGUACAGUUUGUACAGGAUAGGCGGGAGCCUUUGAAACCGGAGCGCUAGCUUCGGUGGAGGCGCUGGUGGGAUACCGCCCUGACUGUAUUGAAAUUCUAACCUACGGGUCUUAUCGACCCGGGAGACAGUGUCAGGUGGGCAGUUUGACUGGGGCGGUCGCCUCCUAAAGUGUAACGGAGGCGCCCAAAGGUUCCCUCAGAAUGGUUGGAAAUCAUUCGUAGAGUGCAAAGGCAUAAGGGAGCUUGACUGCGAGACCUACAAGUCGAGCAGGGACGAAAGUCGGGCUUAGUGAUCCGGUGGUUCCGCAUGGAAGGGCCAUCGCUCAACGGAUAAAAGCUACCCCGGGGAUAACAGGCUUAUCUCCCCCAAGAGUCCACAUCGACGGGGAGGUUUGGCACCUCGAUGUCGGCUCAUCGCAUCCUGGGGCUGUAGUCGGUCCCAAGGGUUGGGCUGUUCGCCCAUUAAAGCGGUACGCGAGCUGGGUUCAGAACGUCGUGAGACAGUUCGGUCCCUAUCCGUCGUGGGCGUAGGAAAUUUGAGAGGAGCUGUCCUUAGUACGAGAGGACCGGGAUGGACGCACCGCUGGUGUACCAGUUGUUCUGCCAAGGGCAUAGCUGGGUAGCUAUGUGCGGAAGGGAUAAGUGCUGAAAGCAUCUAAGCAUGAAGCCCCCCUCAAGAUGAGAUUUCCCAUAGCGUAAGCUAGUAAGAUCCCUGAAAGAUGAUCAGGUUGAUAGGUUCGAGGUGGAAGCAUGGUGACAUGUGGAGCUGACGAAUACUAAUAGAUCGAGGACUUAACCAU
rnacentral:rRNA from 1 species